rnacentral:rRNA from 1 species
GACGAACGCUGGCGGCGUGCUUAACACAUGCAAGUCGUACGGUAAGGCCCUUUCGGGGGUACACGAGUGGCGAACGGGUGAGUAACACGUGAGUAACCUGCCCACAACUUUGGGAUAACGCUAGGAAACUGGUGCUAAUACUGGAUAUGUGCUCCUGCUGCAUGGUGGGGGUUGGAAAGCUCCGGCGGUUGUGGAUGGACUCGCGGCCUAUCAGCUUGUUGGUGGGGUAGUGGCCUACCAAGGCGGCGACGGGUAGCCGGCCUGAGAGGGUGACCGGCCACAUUGGGACUGAGAUACGGCCCAGACUCCUACGGGAGGCAGCAGUGGGGAAUAUUGCACAAUGGCGCAAGCCUGAUGCAGCAACGCCGCGUGCGGGAUGACGGCCUUCGGGUUGUAAACCGCUUUCAGCAGGGACGAAGCUUUUUGUGACGGUACCUGCAGAAGAAGCACCGGCUAACUACGUG